GGCGACGUACCCAAGUAGAAAGGGAGCGGUCUGCAAAACCGUUAUGCGUGGGUGCAAUUCCCAUCGUCGCCUCCA
rnacentral:tRNA from 1 species